rnacentral:lncRNA from 1 species
UCGAUUUCUUCAUCUCCUCUCCACCAUCAUCACUCGUUCAACUCCAGCGAGAAACUGAAAAGUUUUUCUCUUAAUCAAACUUGAAUAUCAAUUUUUAUUUUUAUUUUCCUUUUGCGAAAUCCAGUUGAAUCAAAUCUGAUAUGAUCAACCAAAGAAAACCCAGUUUUUAGUCCAAUAAAUUAUAUGUGAUUAGGAGAUCGGAGAAGAGAAAACAAUUAAAGGUUUUACCCCAUUGUUUUUAAUUUUCAUUCUAGAUCUACGACACAGAGAUCACAUAAAGACCAAAAUUCAGAGAAAUAAACCAAAAAAUAAGUUCAUUAACAGAUUUGAGAAA